ACAGAAAGCCUUUACGAAAUCCUCAUACCAUCUCCGGACGCAGGGCUACAGCAAUCAGCUAAAGAGCUAAACCAUUUCAAGCCAAGGAAACCAGAGAGUGGAGAGAAAGGCAAGAAGAAAAUAUAUGGAAAGCCUAGAAGAGGAGGAGGCUAGUGGCAGUGGAGGGCUCUUCAAGUGAACAAGGAGCUGAGUGGCAAAAGGAUACUAAAAUUUUGCCAGCUGAAGCUAAGGUUUUGCAAUAAACUUCAAGAAGUUCUC